rnacentral:rRNA from 1 species
GCUGGCGGCGUGCCUAUUACAUGCAAGUCGAGCGGACAGAUGGGAGCUUGCUCCCUGAAGUCAGCGGCGGACGGGUGAGUAACACGUGGGCAACCUGCCUGUAAGACUGGGAUAACUCCGGGAAACCGGGGCUAAUACCGGAUAAUUCUUUCCCUCACAUGAGGGAAAGCUGAAAGAUGGUUUCGGCUAUCACUUACAGAUGGGCCCGCGGCGCAUUAGCUAGUUGGUGAGGUAACGGCUCACCAAGGCAACGAUGCGUAGCCGACCUGAGAGGGUGAUCGGCCACACUGGGACUGAGACACGGCCCAGACUCCUACGGGAGGCAGCAGUAGGGAAUCUUCCGCAAUGGACGAAAGUCUGACGGAGCAACGCCGCGUGAGUGAUGAAGGUUUUCGGAUCGUAAAACUCUGUUGUUAGGGAAGAACAAGUACCGGAGUAACUGCCGGUACCUUGACGGUACCUAACCAGAAAGCC